CUUAAAAAACAUAUCCCAGACUUAUUUUAGAGGUACUGCCCAGCUAAGAGAGAAAGAUAUUAGAUUUACCAACAUUUUGUAAAGGUUCCAGGAUGUUUAGCCUGUAAUGUUGCAGGAAUAUUCAAAAACCUGUAAUAUACCUUUUAAAACCUUGUGUUUCUCUUUAGACUCCAGUUUAGACGUUUCUGUGACCCAGACUCCAUCUAACCUCACAGUGGAGGAAGGACAGAGUGUGGAUAUCUCCUGUUGCUGGAAUAAAAUCAUCCCUAAUAUUAAAGUGAGGUGGAUUAAACCCAACCAGAUUAAUAAAGACCUUCCUACAGAAAUCAUUAAUACUAACUGCUCAGUUGUCUCUAUAAGAAACGCCUGCAAUAAUGAUACAGGACUGUACAUCUGUGAAGUUCUACUAGACAUUCCUGUACUGGUUACUGUAAAAGGAAAAGGGACGACUGUGAGACUUGUGGAAAAAAAGCCAGACAAUAACACCACUGGAUUCACUAAUUCAUCCUUGGAGGCCCCGCCCCCUGCGCAGCCGCCGCUGGUGCCGCCGCUGGUGCCGAUAGUGGGAGCGUCGGUUCCCGCAGCCGUGAUCCUGAUUUGUCUCUGUGUUUCUGUGGCUGUGUGGAGAACCUGCAGAAAACCAGAGAGGAUGGUCAUACGGGAGGGACCAGCAAGUGAGGGGGAGGAGCCUGAGCAUAGCGAGGGUGACGACAGCUCACGUAACUCCAGAGGCUCCACCCAGUGGGUAAGAAACACCUCUCGCUGUGGAGAUCUGUGCAGGCGCAGCAGCCAGAACUGAGUUGAAAAAUCAGAUUGUAUCAGGGAUGUAAAAUAUGUUUCUGAAAUCGUAAUUUCUAAGCUUAGUUUAGAGUAUUUUGGUCUCUUUCCGUUCAAACAGAUAAGUGGAUAUAAAUACCUGGCCACAUGUUAACUUCCUCAGUGCAGUUUCUUUAUCGCUGCUGCUUUCAGUGUACUUCACACACCAGCGUUUACAGACUUGUCUUAAAUCACUCCCUGUGCUCUGCACUGCUCCUAUAGAGUCCACUCUCUGGUGAUGUCAACAACAAACAGUGCUAUUGGGCGAGAUUUUUACAGAAAAUCACUCGCAUAAAGAUUUUAGAUGUUUGAAUUUACCAUUCCAUCUUAAAUGCUGGCUGAAGAUGCAUUUUUUAAGUUAUUUGACCUUAAUAUCUUCAGCUUUAAGGUGGAACAGAAUAUUUCUAUAAGAAUCCAGGUGUAGUUUUAUCUGGACCGUAAUUUGUAAUCUGCACAACAUAAGCAGAAUGUAUAAUCACUAAGCAUGUAACAUCUACUACAUGUAUAUGUAAUGUGGAAUUGAAAAUGUAAAUAUGAAACUGAAAACUUGGAGGUUUUAGUAGUAAGGAAUUAGCUGCCACAGUCAUUAUUUUUCUUUUUAGCUGGGUAGCUAAGCUAACGUAAUACUUAUACACAAGCCAUUUUUAAUGAAAAGCUGAUAUGUGUAAUUUCUCUGCUGGUUGAAUGGGCACUAAUGUGGUAGCUAGGUGGCUUAGCUAAGAAAAUAUCCAUAAAAUAAGCCAUUUUAAUAAAAAUAAAAGCUGAUAUGCUGUUUGUACA
ensembl:lncRNA